rnacentral:rRNA from 2 species
UUGACCUCGAAUCAGGUAGGGAUACCCGCUGAACUUAAGCAUAUCAAUAAGCGGAGGAAAAGAAACCAACCGGGAUUACCUCAGUAACGGCGAGUGAAGCGGUAACAGCUCAAAUUUGAAAUCUGGCUCCUGCGGAGUCCGAGUUGUAAUUUGUAGAAGAUGCUUUGGGAGGUAGGACCGGCCUAAGUUCCUUGGAACAGGACAUCAGAGAGGGUGAGAAUCCCGUAUGCGGCCGCGGCCUAUGCCCGUGUAAAGCUCUUUCGACGAGUCGAGUUGUUUGGGAAUGCAGCUCAAAAUGGGUGGUAAAUUUCAUCUAAAGCUAAAUAUUGGCCAGAGACCGAUAGCGCACAAGUAGAGUGAUCGAAAGAUGAAAAGCACUUUGGAAAGAGAGUUAAACAGUACGUGAAAUUGUUGAAAGGGAAGCGCUUGCACCCAGACUUGGGCGUCGUCGAUCAUCCGAGGUUCUCCUCGGUGCACUCGGCGAUGCACAGGCCAGCAUCGGUUUGGGUGGUUGGAGAAAGGCUCUAGGAACGUAGCUCUCUUCGGGGAGUGUUAUAGCCUAGGGCGUAAUGCAGCCCAUCCGGACCGAGGACCGCGCCUUUGGGCUAGGAUGCUGGCGUAAUGGUUGCAAGCGACCCGUCUUGAAACACGGACCAAGGAGUCUAACAUCUAUGCGAGUGUUUGGGCGUUAAACCCAUACGCGGAAUGAAAGUGAACGUAGGUGAGAACCCGUUAGGGUGCAUCAUCGACCG